UNCACUUUAGUCCCUAAAUUUUCGAAAUAUAAAAAAAUAUAUAGCAUAUGAAAUAAAAUAAUUUAAAUUAAUUUUUAAUUUUUUUUCCAGGGCUCUACAAUUUAGCCUUAUUGGUUAAAUUAUCGUAGGGAUUUAAGGCUGACUUAAAGCUAUCUCGUGGGGACAAGAGUUGUGAAGUGUUAAAGUCGUACGGUACUAACGUAAUUAAGGAGUCUUGAAACUAGGUCCAUGACAAGUGAUAUCGGAGCGAAGGGUUGGUUGUGAUAACCAAGUUCGACUAUGGUAGCCGAGUUCGUGGGAGGUUCUUGGAGCUAGAUUUGGGUGUAGUGCACAAAUGGCGAAAUCUUAUGAAACUGUCGAAAUUGGAGUAAAAGAAAGGGGACAUUGUGUUCCCCCAAUAGAUAGGAUUUUAUGAAUUAAAAAAACAAACAAAAAAAGCGCACACAAUAUGGAAAAACCUCUUUAUAUAAAUGUAAAAGAAAACUAUUUACAACUUCUCAAAUAUAUUCCCUAUAAGAUAUCUCUUUAUCUCACUUUACUCCAUUCCACCUAUGUAAAUUUUCUCUCAAUUCUCCAGCACUCCAUUCAUGGGAUUUUAUAAAUGACCCAACACAUCUAUUUAUAGACAAACUCUUGCUAAGCAAGUUGACAUCAACAACUAGGAUUAAUCUUGAUAUAAAGGUUUUCAUUGGUUGCAAGUUGUCAUCCACCACAAGAUAGCCAAAUUGAAAUUUGCUACCUUUCAAGUUGUAUGUCUCUACACUUGCAAGUAUGUUGCAAAGUGUAUGUCCAUUUCCAACUCUAUGCUAGUUGACAUGUUCCUUUCCAUGCAACUGGACAAACUCUACAACUCAUACACAAGUGGACGCAUCCCCAUCAUUGUGACCAAGCUGGACUUCGCUUCCUCCAUAAUAGUCAACUUGGACUUGACUUCCUCAUUCAAGUGGCACAAGUUUGCACCCACUUGCAUCCAAGACCACCUACCGCAAUCUACGGUAUUGCUUCCCUUACAAUAGUAGUUUUGACCUUAGAAAAACCUGACUUUCGUCCAUGCAUCCCCUACCAACAUUUUCCCAGCCUGCAUUCUACCUACAAGUCUGAUUGCGUUUGUUGCUUGGGUUUUGCCUGUGUUGCUGCCUACAUCCCUUACCACAAUGCCUUCCCAAUCUACCUAAAUUUUGCUUGCUUGUGUCCCCCUACUGCAGUGCCUGUUUUUUCCCCUACCUGCAUACCCUACCGCGGGUAGUUUCGUCCUAUCGUAGCGCAUUGCUUGCGCUACAUGAUUUUUCCAACCUGCACUCCUACUGCCCUACAGGUAGUUACGUCCAUCCGUAGUGCAUUUUCUCUCAUCGCUACCUGGACAUAUUGACCGCAACCAUGGGAGACAUAAGUUACUUCCCCACCAAAUUAGGUGACUUCAUCAUCGCCAUGUACCGUCGAAACUUAGACCUAAUUUGCCAUAGUUCUACAUCAUUUUCCCACUUUGUACCAUGACUGUCCCAUGUCACGUCAAGUCUCAAGUCACUCCCUUGCGGUCUGUGACACUUUGCUUCAUAACUUGUAAUUCAUGGUACAUUAUACCCCAUGAACCAACUGUAUUCAUAACUAAAGUAGGAUAAGGAUGUUAUGGUUAUAUACCUUAAUCACAACCAACCAUCAAAGCAGACAAUGUCAAAAGAAGUAUUUGAUUAUGUAACGAAAAUUGGAUUUGAUGAAAUGAAAUAAUAAAUAUAAUUGGAAGUAACAAUAUAUCAUUUUACCAGAAUUACAAGAAUCACUAGCUCUAUUAAAAAGGUAGGUUCCUCUUCAAGAUCAAAAAAAUUUUGUCCAAAAAGAAACUCAAGUACAUAGGAGUGGACUAAAUUGUAUACGUGACAAAUC
rnacentral:lncRNA from 1 species